AGAGUAAGAACUGGAGGAAGGUGGGGAUGACGUCAAAUCAUCAUGCCCCUUAUGACCUGGGCUACAAACGUGAUACAAUGGCUGGAACAAAGGGAGGCGAAGGGGUGACCUGGAGCGAAACCCAAAAAUACAGUCUCAGUUCGGAUUGAAGUCUGCAACUCGACUUCAUGAAGUCGGAAUCGCUAGUAAUCGCGGAUCAGAACGCCGCGGUGAAUACGUUCUCGGGUUU
rnacentral:rRNA from 1 species